rnacentral:lncRNA from 1 species
AUUCUACUGGUUACGAGUGAGUCCUUGAUCCACUGAGAUCCAAGAGGAUGAGACAAAGUCCCCAUAUCUCAAUGAAAGAUCGUCAAGGUCACACUGAAGAAGACCAUGUGGGAUGGGAGAGAGACAUAGUGGUCACAUUUGAGAAAGGCCAUCUGACAGAUGGGAGAAGCUGAAAGGGCUGCAGACAGCAGAAGCCUCCCCUGCACCUGCAAAUAGACCAGUGCAGGCAUUGAACAUCUGGGGCAAGACUAGCGUCUCCCAGCAGAUUAGUCUGCAUAUCAAGAACAACUAGACCUUAUAAAAGUCACAACAGAGCAGAGGGAUGGUCACCUGUAAAUGCACACUUUCUAGUAUUUUCUCAAAUUAGAGCAUCUGAGGGUAUCUUCAGAGAAAUCAAAUGCACCAAGACAAAAACGUAUGACCUGAAACUGGUCCCGAGGAAACAUCAGAUGGACCACGUUGAGCAUCACACUGCAGAAUGUAGGGCUGCAUUCUUCCAAACUGUUGGGACGAUGAAAGUCAGGGAAAGACUGAGGAAAUGCUCCAAACUGGGGCAGACUGCAAAGAUGUGACAAUUAAAUGCAAUGUGUAACUCGGGGUUUCUGCACUUUAGCUCUUUCAAGAUUUUUGACUGGAUAAUUCUUGGGGUCUGUCUUGCACACUGCACGGUGUCUGGCAUCAUCUCUGGUGUCUAAGCCCUAGAUGUCAAUACCAAUUCCCACUUGUGUGAUCAAAUGUCUCCAGACAU